AUGUCGGUGAACGGCUUCGACAAAGGGGAGGAGGGCGGGCCGGCGAGCUGCGACGGCCAGUAUCACAGCGACGACCAGUUCCUGGUGUCGCUGGGUUCGAUGUGGUACGGCCCCGGCAACCGCUGCGGCAAGACGAUCCGCAUCAAGAGCGCGGACGGGCUUUACGUGGUGGCCAUGGUCGUGGACGAGUGCGGCCGUGAGAGCGGCUGCAGCGAGAACGAGAUCAGCACGUCGGCCGCCGUGUGGAAGGCCUUCGGGCUUGACACCAGUGUUGGCCAGGUUUUCGUUAGUUGGUCGGAUACCAACUGA
rnacentral:rRNA from 1 species